ACCGAGAACAAGAAGUGUAGAGAUCAACAGAAGUGAUGUGGAAGAGGAUGCAAGGAACACUAGUGGGAACGAGAGAAGGUUCUCAUUUGGGUGGCGGUUCAGCGGAUUGUUCUCUUCCUCGGCUUCUUCUUCAUCCGGUUCAGCGGCCUCAGNNNNNNNNNNAGCUGAUUGUUCUCUUCCUCGUCUUCUUCUUCAUCCGUUUCAGCAGCCUCAGGGUCGUCUCAGCUCAAUGAGAACUCUAAUUAAGGAUAAAGGAGGAAAAAUUAGAAAAAGAACAAUCUCUGGUUCCCUUUCUUUUGGUCACAACUCAUCAGAGCUUUGAAGUACAUAAAAAUAUUGUGAUCACACAGAUUGUUGAAGAUCUAUAAACACUUUUGAGUUUUGAAGAAUGGAAUAUUUUCUCUCUUUGUGUUAUAUCAUUGCUAAUGCUAGG
rnacentral:lncRNA from 1 species